AAGACGUUUAAAUAUAAUUACUAGACGGAAAGCAGCACGCGCGGAAACCAUUACACGAAUGGGAUUAGGCUCCGCCUCUUUUGGAUCAUUUGAAGACAAAAUAAGCACCCGAGGCGGCUUUUUGAUUGGAUAUGAGCCUCAUGAAUAUGUAUUUUAUCGAUAGUAUCGUUUAAGAAACCGGAUAAUAUAUUUGACCUCAUUGCGUCACUUUAAUUAUGCAGAUUUAUGCACGACGCUACGACACUCGCACAAACUGAGAAGAGUUAGUUCAUUGAGAAUGGAUUGAAACUGAUGAAGAUCAAGCUGGAAGGAGUUAACUGAUGAGUAGACAUUACAGCAUUUCUUAUAUAUGCAAGAUGAAGCUGAAAGUGCCAUGCAGGAUGAUGCUUCUCUACGGUGGAUGAUGAAGGCAUGCUGAUUACAAACCCAGGAGAGGAACAAAGAACAGAUAUUGACAGAAUCAUAUCUAGAGAUGUGGGCCUACUACACUUCAUACGAGCAAGUGUGCUAAUAUACAAUACUUGGGUUAUCAUCACAGCCCUUUCUUCUGAAAACUAGCCUACAACUUCAUUGAUGAAUGCA
rnacentral:lncRNA from 1 species